GUCUGAGGUAGCAUUCUCCAUUUGCUUUUUGUUUGCUUGCUUGCUUGCUUGUUUGUUUGAGGCAGGCUCUUGCUAUGCAGACCAGGUCAGUUUCAAACAUACCAUCCUCCUGCUUCAGCCUCCUGAGAGUUAAGAAUUACAGGCAUGGGCUGCCUUCCUGGGUCACAAUCCCUGAUUUUACAGAUGACAGAGUUAAGGCCCAGGGGAAACUUGACCAGGACCAAGAAGCCAGUGACUGUUGGCAAGGAGCUGGCUGUUUUUUGGGUGAUUCCAUAUAUAUAUCAGCCCUGUUCUGCACAGGGGAAGCUCAGCUCUGUAGGAAGAAACCCUCA
rnacentral:lncRNA from 1 species